UACGACUGCAAUUUCGACAGAGUCGC
rnacentral:piRNA from 1 species